GACGAACGCUGGCGGCGUGCCUAAUACAUGCAAGUCGAACGAAGCUGUUUUAACUGGUGCUUGCACCGACUUAAACAACUGAGUGGCGAACGGGUGAGUAACACGUGGGUAACCUGCCCCAAAGCGGGGGAUAACAUUUGGAAACAGAUGCUAAUACCGCAUAACCACAGAAACCACAUGGUUUCUGUGUCAAAGAUGGUUUCGGCUAUCACUCUGGGAUGGACCCGCGGGGUAUUAGCGAGUUGGUAAGGUAAUGGCUUACCAAGGCAAUGAUACGUAGCCGAACUGAGAGGUUGAUCGGCCACAUUGGGACUGAGACACGGCCCAAACUCCUACGGGAGGCAGCAGUUGGGAAUCUUCCACAAUGGACGAAAGUCUGAUGGAGCAACGCCGCGUGAGUGAAGAAGGUUUUCGGAUCGUAAAACUCUGUUGUCAGAGAAGAACGUGUGCGGGAGUAACUGUUCGUGCAGUGACGGUAUCUGGCCAGAAAGCCACGGCUAACUACGUGCCAGCAGCCGCCGUAA
rnacentral:rRNA from 1 species